UACGGGGGGAGCAAGCGUUGUUCGGAUUUACUGGGCGUAAAGGGCGCGUAGGCGGUCAGCACAAGUCAGUUGUGAAAUCUCCGAGCUUAACUCGGAACGGUCAACUGAUACUGUGCGACUAGAGUGCGGAAGGGGCAACUGGAAUUCUUGGUGUAGCGGUGAAAUGCGUAGAUAUCAAGAGGAACACCUGCGGCGAAGGCGGGUUGCUGGGCCGACACUGACGCUGAGGCGCGAAAGCCAGGGGAGCGAACGGG
rnacentral:rRNA from 1 species